CGAUGGGCGCAGCUGAUGCAGCCACGCCGCGUGAGUGAUGAGGCCUUCGGGUUGUAAAGCUCUUUCGGCAGGGACGAUAAUGACGGUACCCGUAGAACAAGCCCCGGCUAUCUUCGUGCCAGCAGCCGCGGUAAUACGAAUGGGGCUAGCGUUGUUCAGAAUCACUGGGCGUAAAGUGCACGUAAGCGGUUGGCUUAGUCAGGUGUGAAGU
rnacentral:rRNA from 1 species